AAUUUUAAGGUCAAGCUACAAAGGGCGCAUGGUGAAUGCCUUGGCACUAGGAGCCGAAGAAGGACGCGAUAAGCUGCGAUAAGCCUUGGGUAGCCGCAAAUAGGCUGAGAUCCAGGGAUUUCCGAAUGAGGAAACUCACAUGGGUAACCCCAUGUAUCAUGCACUGAAUACAUAGGUGUAUGAGGGUAAACCCGGGGAACUGAAACAUCUAAGUACCCGGAGGAAGAGAAAGAAAAAUCGAUUUCCUAAGUAGCGGCGAGCGAACGGGAAAGAGCCCAAACCAGAAACUUGUUUCUGGGGUUGUGGAUAGAUCAUAAAAGAAGAGGUAUCUUAAUCGAAGAGGGCUGGAACGCCCUACCAUAGAAGGUAAUAGUCCUGUAGGUAAAAAGAGAAAACUUCGAGAUCUAAUCCAGAGUACCACGAGACACGUGAAACCUUGUGGGAAGCAGGGAGGACCACCUCCCAAGGCUAAAUACUACCUAGUGACCGAUAGUGAAGCAGUACCGUGA
rnacentral:rRNA from 1 species